rnacentral:rRNA from 1 species
GACGAACGCUGGCGGCGUGCUUAACACAUGCAAGUCGAACGAGAUCCAAUGUGUAGCAAUACACAGGAAGAUCUAGUGGCGAACGGGUGAGGAACACGUGAGAAACGUACCCCAGACUUUGGGAUAACAGUCCGAAAGGACUGCUAAUACCAAAUAACGUCGGAAGUCCGCAUGGACAUCUGACGAAAGGGAUUCCGGUUUGGGAGCGUCUCGCGGACCUAUCAGCUAGUUGGAGGGGUAACGGCCCACCAAGGCAACGACGGGUAGCUGGUCUGAGAGGGUGGCCAGCACAAGGGGAGAUGAGACCAGGCCCAGACCCCGGGGGGGGGGAGGGGUGGGGAAUCUUGCGAAAGGGGCGAAAGCCGGACCCCGCAACGCCGGGGGGGGGAAAAAGGCUUUCGGGGUGUAAACCCCUUUCAGUAGGAAAGAAACGGAGGGUACCGACAAAAGAAGGGGCGGCAAACUAUGG